UAUUACUUAAAUCCAGCAAGUCAGUUUCAGAGUUAAAUACAGAAAAUUCCAAUCAAAAUAAUAUAACUACAGAUAUACCAUACAAGAAACUUACCACCAAAGCAUUAAUAUAGCAAAUGAGUUUUCAAAGCAAUAAAGUCUUCAUACUAGUAGGCAAGCGAGGAAGCAAAAUCUGGGUAAAAACACUGCCCAUGAUAAUACAUUGUUGAACUGCUCAUUUUAGGAAAAAAUUAAACUUUACAACGAGUCAAUUGAAAUCGUUCUUCAAUUCACUAUUUCACUCCAAGGAAAGCCUUUAUUCAGGUGGGAACACAACACUUAAUAUUUACAGAGCUACAAGAUUGAACUCAAACAAUUAAAAAAAGAAGAUUUAAGUCACCAUUAAAACCUAAAACGUACUAAUUGAGAAAAAAUUGUGACUAUAAAAUCAAAUAUAAUUGGCCAAAAAUGGUCAACGAAGUGUUAAAAAAAAAAAAAACUUCGUGCUGUGAAAAAAACCAAGAAAUAGAACACAAUAUCAUACACAUUAACUGAUAAACCAGAUUGAAAGUGACUACGAAUUAGGAAUAGGAGAGAAUUUACCAGUGAGACAAUAGCAAUGAAAAUGAGGAAUACACCGAGUAUAGGAGACAAAUGGCUAGGUUGAGGCUAAGGCCGAGGCCGAGGCUGUACCUGUGUAGCGCUUGCUCUUUGUUGCUGUGGAUCCAUGGCACGGUUUCAACUGUUGCCAAAAUGUGUGCGAGAGAAUUUGCUGAUUACUUUAAAGCUUGAGAAGGGAAAGACAUAAUCAACACUAUAAAUCAAUAAAAAUUUCAAUUCAGACCCAAAUCAACAAUUAAAAUCAAACCCAAAUCAAUCAUUAAAAUCUAACCUUGAUACAGUUCAAAUCAAACCCUAAUUAUAAAUUAAUUCAGAAAAUCUAAUCUAAUACUAACCUUUUGCUUGAUGAUUCUGAUGGUAAAGAGAAUGUGCGGCGAAGCUAGAACAAUAGUUCUGAUGUCACGCGGUGAGUAGGGGUGGGCAUAAACCCACAACCCAUGGGUUUAUCUAAACUCAAACCAAAUUAAAUGGUUUGGGUUGGGUAAAUCAUGAAAAUGGGUUAGAUGUGGGUUUUAUGUAGAAAACCAUUUCAUUAUGGUUUGGGUAUGGUUUACCCAUGGGUUAUGGACAAAACCCCAACACACAAAUUUUUCAAAUGAAAUAAAUGAAAACAAAAUAAAUGAACACAAAUAAGUGAAAGACCACCAUUAAAUUUUUUACGGCGUGAUCAAUUGUCAACAGUUAGAAAAUGAAAAUAACAGUAAAAAUAAAUUUAAAUUAAAUAAAUAUUGUUGUAAAUAACAUAAAUUUUUUUUCUUAUUUACAAAAAUAAUUCCUCCGACAUGGAAGGAUCAUCAUAGAAAGAGCAGGAGACUCUACUAAGAAGAAAUAACAUAAAUUUCUUCUUAUUUACAAAAUUUUUUUCUUAUAAUU
rnacentral:lncRNA from 1 species